AGUAAAAACUCGGCCAGAAAACAGUCUCAGUCAUAUACCCAUUGCCGUUAGAACUUGCUGGAAGCAUCCUAAUCAUGUUUUCGAAUAGUGUUUCUCCAUAUGAGUUGUACGCAGAUAUGCAAACUUUGCAUAUAAAUGAAUAGUAGAAAAAUAACGAUUAGUCAUCGACUCUUCUUCGCGGGUAUCCGCGUGAUACGAGUCAUGUACUGUUCCAUAACCAGUUCUGGAAUCUUUCGACGGGAAAUAUAACCGGUCAGAGGAAGCAGCUGUUUAGUUUUAAAGCUUUAAUCCCAAUGUUCAAAGCCAAGCACACGCGCCGCAAUGCACUUCUCAUCACUGCACACGCGAGCUACGCUCACCACGAUCGUUAGAUAA